GUGCGUGCCGGUGAAGGUUUGCAGGGUCACCAGGACCGGUUUGGAUACCACUCGUCGCAAAUGUUAACCGCGGCCGGCAAAUCGAACUCAAGCGGCGGAAAUUCAUCGCUCACUGCACUAAACACUAAGCUGCUUACCUAUCCUACCACUGUCAUUGAUACCGUUGUAAUCACCUCGUCCGUAUGUUUUUGUUUUUUUUACAGUAAAUUAUACGAUGUGUGCUGUUUCGAGUACUAUGGUGUAAAGUAGCAUUGCACUGUGGAUCCUGGGUACCUGACCUUCUGUUUUCGGCCACAGCGAACAUGAGGUGGCAAGCGAUGAUCUAAACCAGUUCCACCACCCCAAGCCUGCACGAACAAUCACGAUGAAGUAUGGUUAAACAACCCCCAGUGAGCGACGAGGCGUGGAGAGGUGUCCGUCUAGCAGUGAAUUGAGGCACACUCAAGUUUCCUCCCACGUGCCAGAAGUCUCAUGAAUGGAAUUCGCCAAGCAUCCCGAUGCAGGCCCUUGUGUAAAAGGAAAAAAAUGUAUUUUCGUGCCGCUGCGUGGGGUUUCACGCUCGCGCUGCGCACGUUGAGGCAACAAUCCUGAAAAAAAGACAUCGCAGAGUUGAGCUUCUUCACCUCCAGACAAGCCGUCCUGCGUAAAUAAUACUACAACAACAGCAGCAACAACAACAACAAGAACAGCACCGUAUAAAUUGCGAGCGUUCAACAUUUCUGCCGUGUCGGGACGAGCAUUUGAAUGCGCCACGUUGUACGUCGAACUUCUUUCGCACCUUUCGAUUUAAAGCUUUCGUGACUGCAGGGAUUCAUGUUCUUGGUUUCUUUCGGUAAAGUCACAUAGAAGGGAAAUAAUAACAAAUAAUAAAAAUAAAACAACAUAAUAAAAUUCUCACGACGUUUCGGCCACAACGCAAGCAGCCGUCCUCAGGUGAAGAAACAGAGCUGUCGGAAAGACGGCGUCUUAAUGAACACUGCUAAUCUCGUCGUGAGAAUUUUAUUAUAUUAUGUUGAAUUUUUAUUACUUUAUUAUUUCCCUUCUACGUGACUUUACCGAAAGAACCAAUAAUAUUCUUUCGCACCGUACGUAGCCACCCGCACGAAUCAGCGGUGCGCGGGAAGGACGACGUUUGAUAACAUGAAUUCGAUUUGGACGGAAGCGACAUUUAUUUGACACGAGCCCUCUAUAUCAAUGUCACCUAUUUUUUUUUAUCAUAUUAGACCUUUUAAAUCAUUUAUUUACAGCCCUUUAAUCCGUGCAGGUCUGAUUAUAACCGACUUUAAUCCAAAGAUGAUGUUAUUAAGGCCUUGCAUUACAUUACCAUGCGAGGUGUAUUCACAAAGCAUCUAAAUACAGCUGCUUUGUACAAAGCAUUUUGACAUGCGCAUCAAGUAGACGGUAACAUUUACAUUGUGUAUACAUGCAUGUUUUACUUCUUUCGCAUCGUACGUAGCCAUUUACAUUGUGUAUACAUGCAUGUUUUGCUUCUUUCGCAUCGUACGUAGCCAACCAUACUAAGAGUGAGUUUGUUAUAGGCGUAAGUUAGUCAGUUAUAGCCAAAAGAGAAGAGAGAGGUCUUGAGUCUGGAUUUGAGCAGUUGCGCAGAGUUAACAUCACAAAUAAACAAAAACGAAACUAUUUUUAUUUUACCAGGUAAGGCCCACUGAGCUACAGAGCCCCUUUUUAAGAAGCAACCUGGACACAAGUGAUAGCUCAACGAAGUGGCUUAUCACGUGGAAAUUUAUCGCAGACAAUUUUUCUAAAACACGUUUCUAAAUAUGGAAGGAAAAACCGGAGGACCCGGAGAAAAAUCGACACGACCACGCGGAGAACAAACUCCAAAUAUACAGCAGGGGUCAGGGUCGGGAUCAAACCCACGAUCUCCUGUAUACCAGGGGAGGUAGUGAACAUACUCUUAGUUGUUUCGGUAAAGUCACGUAGGUAAACAAUGAAAUUAAAAUUCAUAAAAAUAAAAUAAUAAACAUCACGACGUGCCUCCGAAAAGUCGUAAUUUUUAUCAUUUUAUUUUUAUUAAUUUUAAUUUCAUUGUUUACCUACGUGACUUUACCGAAAAAACUACGAGUAUGAAUCCUUGCAGUCACGAAAGCUUCAAAUCUAGAGGUAGUGAACGUCUUUCCACCGUGGCACUCUCCCCUCAGAUGACAGGAGGGGAGGAAGUUUCAUAUUGUGGCUGGCAACAGAUGAGGAGGAGCGACAAUCAACGUCUGCUCUAGUCCCAUGACGGCAGUGCGAUGUGCAAUGGCAUUGAACUAAGAGGUCACGGACCUGCCGAUGAGACUCGGUGAAGUCGAGUUGCCCUGCUUCAACAUACGCUCCUUGGGAUACAUUAAUCUGCGAGGCCUGCCACUCAACGGAUGAAAAUGUAGCAUUUGCUCGAAAACCGUUUCGCCACUUCUUGCCCGACAUUUAAGAGCAAAGCAAGGCUGUGAACAUGCCAAAGAACACAAGGGCGUAUUAAAGGGUUGGGGGGGGGGGAGACUUUAAAAUUAAAAUCUCUGACCUCUUUCGGUGGGGACCCGUCUGGUUUACGGGCAGCGGCUUCGUUCCCCAUCUUUAUAUCCCCCUGGCUUUUAAUAACCGGUUGAGUCUAUGUUGAGGCUGCCGUACGCGCGUCGCAACGCCAUGUAAUGGUUCCGUGUGCAUUGCUUCGACAUUCUUUUCGCGGGGGAGUUUGGGGGGGAAUUUCUGUAUCACAAGAGAGCGUCGAGGUGUGUGGAGCCUUGCCAAGAAUCCACUGGGAAGGAAUGCGGGCAGAUGUUCCACUGCGAGCCAGCGGCAGCAGCGGAUGUCCUGAUCGUACCUGUGAUUAUUGCGGGGCAUUAGUUCUGCUCAGGGCACAUCGCGCGGCACGAGCAGGUAAGCGGACCCGGUCCCCCUUCAAACAUCACGGCCAGUUCUACUCAGCCCUUCACCCGGUCAGAGAGAGUGAGGCAUUUACAAAAAUGUUUGCAUUGGUUUGAACAAACGCGAAAUGGUCAGCUUGUUCGAGGGUUUUUUUUCCGUGCAAUUGUAUUUUUCCCACAAGCCUUGCAUAUUACGUGUAUAUUAUAGCCAUAAACACGCAUCAUCAUAGGCCACUGUCGAUCCACUGCUAGAUUAAUCAACGCGUCCCGCACGCCGUAGUCAACGGUUCCAUGCCGCCACUCUCGAUCUCACUCCUGCACGUGAGCUGACCUCCACGCCGCAUCUCAGCGGCGAUGGUCCUCUUAGGCGCGUUCCCUCCUUUGGGUGCCAUCCCCUCACGAGUCUCGUCCAUCAGCCAUCGUCUCUUUGUGCCCUGGGUUGCACUACUACCCCCCAUCCGCUUCGAUCCCAACCCUGACGCCUGCUGCUGUAUAUUUGGAUUUUGCAUGUCUCUCUCGCCGUGGUCGCGUGGAUUUUUUUUCUUUCUCCAAGUCCUCCGGUUUUUCCCUCCACAAUUUACAAACAAUGCGUCGAUAUUAUUUAGAUGACAAGCCACUUCGUUAUGCUAGUACUUGUGGCCAGGUCGCUUCUGAAAAACAAGCUAAUGGCUCAGUCAACAUUACCUGGUAUAAUACAAAAUAGUUUAGUUUCAUUUGCAUACAUCUUUUUUAAGUGAUUUGCUAAACCAUGUUAUAUACUUUGCACUCCUAUCAUGCUGUUGUAUCGUUUCUUGUUGCUACGUUCUGGCCUUCCCUAUUGGACAUCGGUGAAAAAGAUCUUCAUAGCUCGUCGAAUUCCUCCGGUAUAAAUAAAUAUUUCUGAUUCUGA